rnacentral:rRNA from 1 species
CUACGGAGGGUGCAAGCGUUACUCGGAAUCACUGGGCGUAAAGCGCGCGCAGGCGGUCUUUUAAGUUGGAUGUGAAAGCCUACGGCUCAACCGUAGAACUGCAUCCAAAACUAUUAGACUAGAGUGUGAGAGAGGAAGAUGGAAUUAGUUGUGUAGGGGUAAAAUCCGUAGAGAUAACUAGGAAUACCAAAAGCGAAGGCAAUCUUCUGGAACACUACUGACGCUGAGGCGCGAAAGCGUGGGGAGCAAACAGAAUUAGAAACCCCAGUAGUCC